rnacentral:piRNA from 1 species
UCUUUCAUUGGUUAUGUAUCUGAUGUGAUC